CCCUUAGAGUUUGAUCCUGGCUCAGAUUGAACGCUGGCGGCAGGCCUAACACAUGCAAGUCGAGCGGAUGAUGGGAGCUUGCUCCUUGAUUCAGCGGCGGAUGGGUGAGUAAUGCCUAGGAAUCUGCCUGGUAGUGGGGGACAACGUUUCGAAAGGAACGCUAAUACCGCAUACGUCCUACGGGAGAAAGCAGGGGACCUUCGGGCCUUGCGCUAUCAGAUGAGCCUAGGUCGGAUUAGCUAGUUGGUGGGGUAAUGGCUCACCAAGGCGACGAUCCGUAACUGGUCUGAGAGGAUGAUCAGUCACACUGGAACUGAGACACGGUCCAGACUCCUACGGGAGGCAGCAGUGGGGAAUAUUGGACAAUGGGCGAAAGCCUGAUCCAGCCAUGCCGCGUGUGUGAAGAAGGUCUUCGGAUUGUAAAGCACUUUAAGUUGGGAGGAAGGGCAUUAACCUAAUACGUUAGUGUUUUGACGUUACCGACAGAAUAAGCACCGGCUAACUCUGUGCCAGCAGCCGCGGUAAUACAGAGGGUGCAAGCGUUAAUCGGAAUUACUGGGCGUAAAGCGCGCGUAGGUGGUUUGUUAAGUUGGAUGUGAAAGCCCCGGGCUCAACCUGGGAACUGCAUCCAAAACUGGCAAGCUAGAGUACGGUAGAGGGUGGUGGAAUUUCCUGUGUAGCGGUGAAAUGCGUAGAUAUAGGAAGGAACACCAGUGGCGAAGGCGACCACCUGGACUGAUACUGACACUGAGUGCGAAAGCGUGGGGAGCAACAGAUAGAUACCUGGUAGUCACGCCGUAAACGAUGUCACUAGCCGUGGAUCUUGAGAUUUAGUGGCGCAGC
rnacentral:rRNA from 1 species